CCCACGGACCGGGAGUCCGGAGGGCCCCUCCCCCCAGACGCGCGGUACCUAGACGGUAUCUUUCCCUCUCGUUUUGUUCGUGCGACGCGACGUCGAGAACAAAGGGGAGACACAAUGCGUCAUACGAAUACGUGAAAAGGAAGGAAGACUGGAUGCACGAGGCUCGUGGAAUUACUGCGGCUCCGACUACGGUGAUUAGAGCCUUUGGAAAGGAGGGCUCUUACACCCCCGCGAUGCAAAACCCUGCGAACGGAGGUCGUGACUUUUGCAACGUGUAUGCGUUGGAUAUCCUCUUCGAAAAAUUGUUGCAAACUUAUAGCGUUCACGUGGACCGAAACGCCGGAAAAAGGAGAACCAGGGAUACGCACGUACGAGGCAAGUUUUACAUCGGUUCCGUUCUCGUGCGCGAGCGAUGUGGAAUUUAAUUAAUUAGAAGAACGAAAUAAUAUGCCGCGCGACUAAAACAGCUCGUGCGACAGAAGGGUAAUCGAAAAACUUUCAACUACUCCGCACUUACGGGACACAGGAUAUGUGUUUCGCGCAUUCGUUUCAACUAGGUCGCGAUAACGAGACUUUUUGUCACUCGAAAUUCAUUAUUUUUUUUUUUUAUUUUUUUUUUUCAUAUUUUUAUUUUUCCAGUCUGACGAUCUAGAUAAUUAUGCGAAAAUUACUCGCACGCUUUCUGAAAAAGGAGAGGAAAAAAAAAAGAAAAGAGAAAUGUCCUCAUUAGACUGGUGUAAAAGGGUUGGAAUCGACGGGAAGCCUUUCGAAAAAUAUAAGGGCACAGUGGGGUCGAGUUGCUAACGCGUGAUGCACGCAUCGAUGGGCGACGAUUGCCUAGUAAUUAGGAAAUUCGAUGGACCGAUUUACCAAUGAUUCGAAUUCGAAUUCGAAGUCAGACAACUAAAUACCGAUCCAUUCGGAGUCGCGACGAUUGUGAAUCGAACAUGUUCAAUGCUUCGCGUUUAAUCUAAUCUGUUGCCAAAGAAUUUCAUUAAGUCAUCAGUCAAGGUCGCGUAAGAUUAUAAUUAUUAUUGAUAAAUUAUAAUGACGAAUCAUACGCUGCCAGUCGGAAAGUCAUCGAACCUGAUUUAUCAUCGUCAUUGACAUAGUUGAUCGCAUCGAAAAAUACGCAUAUAUGCAAAAGUUGACAAUAACGUAAUGCUACAAUCCACUUGAUUCUCUUUCUUGAUGAUAGUGAUUUCGCAUAUAAUGUAAAAGAAUGAAGUGACGGAUAAAAAAGCGCAGCUGAUUAUAUCCGAAUUAGAAUUUUUUCCAUAAUAAAAUUAACAAGUAAACUGCAAUUGACGUAGCAGCAGCGAUUGCAUCUGUAAAAACGAAAAAAAAAAAAAAAGUCGCGUUGCUGCAACUGCAGUAUACGUUUUAUCAUUUCACCGUAACGGAUCAGCGUAGGUUUUGCCCCAAGUUGCGGAGGUACCGUAUAAGAAGAAUAAGAAUAAAAAAAGCGAAGGAACCGAAUGAAAAAUAAAAACCAAAGGUACAUUUUUCAGUAAAUAAUUUACGUCUGAACGUUCCGCACCGACUACCUUCUUUGCACACUGUGGCAAAAUUGCACCGUGGAAGAAUUCGAGUUCUUCGUAGGUACCUGAAAACCGAUAAUUCUACGUGUAAUGGAGCGUCGGUAAACCGCACAAAAUGAAUAGAAAAAGAAUUGGAAAAAAACAAAAAAAAAAAAAAAAAAAGUAAAGAAAUUUCUGCCGUUUACAAUACGAUCUUGGAAUUGUAAAUUUCCGUAACUGCGGGGAGUAGUAAAAAUUUGACGGUUUCCUCCCCGGGUCGCCGCUGCAGAGAUAGAUAUAUCUGGACGCGCGGCUAACGCGAUAAAUUCUGCGCACUGCACAUCGCUGCAGAGAAUGAAAAAAAAAAAAAAAAAUGGAAUAAAAAUAAAAUAAAAACGACGAUAAUGACGGUGAAAUAGAACAAAGAGAGGAAAAAAGUGUGUGUGUAUACGCGAAGUACGAAACCGCUCAGCUGCUGUACCAUCAACGCGUUGCGACGAGAGAAAAAAAAAAAGAAAAAAGAAAAAAAAGGAUUGCACGGUGGCUUUCGCGAUGUACGAUCCUUCUGUAUCGUUGCCAUGGGAACAAGGUGAGCGCGCAAGGUAUAGCCGUACUGCAAAGAACGUUGAAUAUAAGGAGGGUGUGUUCGUGACUCGUAGGACUGCUGAAUGGGCGAAAUAAAAAAAAAAUGUCGAUCCAUUCAAACUACGUAUAAUCUAAUACCCGCCGCACAUCGUCAUAGAAAAUCUCUCAGACACGGUGAACCGAAACUCCCGAAAAUAAGAAGAAAGACGAACCGAAAAGAACACGAAACCUUUCUUCCCUCGUCCGAUCUUCGAGAGACGCGGAACUUCGUGUCGUACGAUAAAAAUAUUUCAGAAAUUUUUGCAAGAGAAAAAAAAAUAAAAAAAACACGAAAAACGGGUCUCUCCGGGAGCGUGCGCGGAUGAUUACCUAUGUACAUUAAUUCCAUCGAGUAAUAAUUUAUAGGGGUGUGGAUCGAAAGCGGUGGAAUAUGCAGGGGCCGCUUUCUGCUCUGCUACCGCACGAGGAUCGGCUAUGGUGCAUUGUCCUCAGGAUUGCGGCGCCUGCUGCCUCACCUUCGCCAACGCACGUCCAGAGGACUGGCCAUAUAUGGAAAACUCCGGCUCCCCUUAGCUGUCUACAAUACGUACUGAUUCUAAUAAGGCCUAGGGCACAGUGUCGACUGAAUUGUCGAGAUCGGAGCCACGACUCAAUAGUGCGAACUCCGCUGCUGAGGAAGUAUAACAACCAGACGGAUAACCUGCUUCGGAUCGAUAGAAAAAAAAAAAAAAAGAAAAAAAAAAAAACAACUAAUGAAGUCGUUUCAUUAUAAUUGCAAAUUGCCAUUGGAUUCGGUGUCUAUGCGUACCGAUUUGAGAUAAGAUUAAAAACAAGUCGUACGGUAAUCGCUCGCCUACCGAAUCAACAGAUCUAGCCCGAGAUUUUUUCCCCACUAUUUUUUCCAUACCCCGCGUCUAUCUGGAUUAAAAGAUGUCUGUUCAACUCGUCCGAAGCCGAACCGUUCGAAGCAGAACGAGAAUCGUUCCGAAUAAAACUAAAGGUGAAUACCUAAUUGGUAACGAAUUUUUUUUCCUUCAAUUUUCACGUGGGAGUUUCAGGCGAGGCGAGAUUUUGCAAAUUGAUCAGAAGAGUGCGUGGGACGCACCGGUACGGCCAAGGCAACGACGGUAAACUUUCACUUUCCUUUUCGUUGAGAGGAUAGAAAAAUUUUCGGAAUUUUUCGCAAGAUAAAAUUACCCGACAUCCGAACGACAUUCGACACCUACUUUGCCAAGGCUAUGGAUAUUUGAAGCAUAUGAUACAUGGGGCUUCUAUGGCGCGGAGGUGAUGAAUUUCAUAAAUUAAUGCAGGGGAAGGAAAUGAGUAUGGUUUUCAUUAGAAAUUCAUCCGUCGCCGGGUGUCAGUGUCUUCCUAUUUUUUUUCUUUUUUCUUUUUUGAAAUAUAUAGGGUCAUUUUGUGAGUAACUCCUGCCCUUGUCUUUCACACUUUAAUUGUAAGUCAAAUAAAGAAGGAGGGGAGCUAAUAUCCCGCCUUGCCCAAGUUCUGUUGAGAACUAAGAAGCUGGAGGCGCUAUCUGCAACAAUUCACCGAACUUCUUGGCUCACAUCAGCGAAGAAACUCGGCGAGUAACCCGCGAUUCGUUUUUGUUAAAUAUUGCAGAUUGCAACCCUUUCGAGAGUCGGCUCGCGUCGGUAACUUGAGGGGAAAAAUAAAGGAGAUACGUCGUAAAUAGAAACAGCCAACUGAUGACAAAGAUGUGUAUAAAAAGCCCGGUACAUCUUCUGCAUGGGUGUCUGGUUUUGAAAUAAUGUAGAGGUAGUCGAGCUGAUUAAGGGAAGUAAAAUUGUAAGACGAAAAAAAAAAAACGUAAAUACACUCUGAAACAUUGGUUAAAAUGGAACUCCCAUAAUUCGCGUGUUUUAAAUUAUACUAAAUUUUUUAUGAGCGGUGCUGGAAUUGAAGGAUUUUGUACACCAGAAAAAAAGUCCUUGACCAUCCUAGACAUUUUAUUCUCAACUGCCGACAAUUUCCAUAAUUUUGUACCAGCACGUGUCUGGAGAAUAUUGAUACAACUUAUCUCCUUAUUUGCAUCGUGAAUUUUGGAGGCUCUGCAGAUAAAAAUUUCAAACACGACAGACGUUAUUUUAUCUCCCACCCCAUAGGUCGCGGCGCGACGCCGGCUGACGCAAAAAAAUAACAUUAGCCUUCGUCCGUUUCUCGAUGGUGAGUUUGCCAUGUGUGACUGGUAUGCACGGUUCGCGCAGCACCUGCUGGUCAUUGAAUCUGUCUGUUCCCCAGGAUAUAUUAUCACGAAUGAAUACGAAGUCUGAAUACAAUAAUUUCCAACCGAGGAUGAGAAAAAAAAAAAAAUCAUACAAAAUGGGAGCCUCCGCACGCGAGAACUUUAAUGGGCAUGUGCCAAUUGCACGUCAGGCACUGAUACCAGAUUAGAAACGAAAUAAAACCGCUCUUCUCUGC